rnacentral:rRNA from 1 species
GAUGAACGCUGGCGGCGUGCCUAAUACAUGCAAGUCGAGCGAACAGACGAGGAGCUUGCUCCUCUGACGUUAGCGGCGGACGGGUGAGUAACACGUGGAUAACCUACCUAUAAGACUGGGAUAACUUCGGGAAACCGGAGCUAAUACCGGAUAAUAUAUUGAACCGCAUGGUUCAAUAGUGAAAGACGGUUUUGCUGUCACUUAUAGAUGGAUCCGCGCCGCAUUAGCUAGUUGGUAAGGUAACGGCUUACCAAGGCAACGAUGCGUAGCCGACCUGAGAGGGGAGACGGCAACAGUGAAACUGAGACAGGGUCCAGACCCCGACGGGGGGCAGCAGUGGGGAAUCUUCCGCAAGGGGCGAAAGCCUGACGGGGAAACGCCGGGGGGGUGAUGAAGGUCUUCGGAUCGUAAAACUCUUUUAUUAGGGAAAAACAAAUGUGUAAGUAACUAUGCACGUUUGGACGGUACCUAAUCAAAAAGCCACGGCUAACAACGG